UACGUAGGCAGCAAGCGUUGUUCGGAAUUACUGGGCGUAAAGAGUGUGUAGGCGGUGCUCCAAGUCUGGUGUGAAAUCUCCCGGCUUAACUGGGAGGGUGCAUUAGAAACUGGAAUGCUAGAGGAUGGGAGAGGUAAGCGGAAUUCCUGGUGUAGCGGUGAAAUGCGUAGAUAUCAGGAGGAACACCGGCGGUGUAGACGGCUUUCUGGACCGUAGCUGACGCUGAGACACGAAAGCGUGGGUAGCAAACAGG
rnacentral:rRNA from 1 species